CCCAGCCCUUGAACCUUGGGACUUCUGAGAUGCAAAGCAGAUGGUUGACCAUGGAGGACUGUUAUUGCCGUUCCCUGGUGAAUCAUCUUCAGUUCCUGCAAGGAUAAUGUGGUAUCAUUUUGUGGCUGGUUGUCCUGAAGUGAAUACUCCGUGUAAUGAAUAUUACCAGAACAAGACCAAAUGGGCUGUUAGUUUCAAGGAGGGCGAUGGCAUGCACUCUUAAUUCCGCUCCCCCCAAAUGUGUUUCGGAUGAGAAUGCUGUCUGUGAAAGGUUGUUUACUCCCAGUUGGCUAAGAGCCUUGCUUCAUUCAUCCUGCUC